rnacentral:rRNA from 1 species
CAGCAGCAGCCGCGGGAAUACAGAGGGUGCGAGCGUUAAUCGGAUUUACUGGGCGUAAAGCGUGCGUAGGCGGCUUUUUAAGUCGGAUGUGAAAUCCCUGAGCUUAACUUAGGAAUUGCAUUCGAUACUGGGAAGCUAGAGUAUGGGAGAGAAUGGUAGAAUUCCAGGUGUAGCGGUGAAAUGCGUAGAGAUCUGGAGGAAUACCGUUGGCGAAGGCAGCCAUCUGGCCUAAUACUGACGCUGAGGUACAAAAGCGUGGGGAGCAAACAGGAUUAGAUACCCCUGUAGUCCCUGUCUCUUAUAC